UACGGAGGGUGCAAACGUUGCUCGGAAUUACUGGGCGUAAAGAGCUCGUAGGUGGUUUGUCGCGUUGUUCGUGAAAACUCACAACUCAAUUGUGGGCGUGCGGGCGAUACGGGCAGACUGGAGUACUGCAGGGGAGACUGGAAUUCCUGGUGUAGCGGUGGAAUGCGCAGAUAUCAGGAGGAACACCGGUGGCGAAGGCGGUUCUCUGGGCAUGAUCUGACGCUGAGGAGCGAAAGUGUGGGGAGCGAACAGG
rnacentral:rRNA from 1 species